rnacentral:rRNA from 1 species
CAUAGCGACUAUCGUGGCAUAUCAAUAAGCGGAGGAAAAGAAACUAACAAGGAUUCCCCUUAGUAACGGCGAGUGAAGCGGGAAGAGCUCAAAUUUGAAAUCUUCAAGGUUCUGACCUUGACGAAUUGUAGUUUAUAGAAGUGUUUUCGGUUAGUAGGAGUAGUCAAAAGUUCUUUGGAAUAGGACAUCAUAGAGGGUGAGAAUCCCGUAUUUGGUCAUUCCUUCCUAGCUUUGUGAUACACUUUCAACGAGUCGGAUUGUUUGGGAAUGCAGUCCAAAAUGGGUGGUAAAUUUCAUCUAAAGCUAAAUAUUGGCGAGAGACCGAUAGCGAACAAGUACCGUGAGGGAAAGAUGAAAAGAACUUUGAAAAGAGAGUUAAACAGUACGUGAAAUUGUCAAAAGGGAAGCGUUUGACACCAGUGUUGUUUUUCCGAAAAUCAAUUACGAAUGUUUUAUUUUUGAGGAGUUAUGACUUCAUCGGCUUGCUCUCUUCUUUACUGAAACUUUCUUAAUGCACUUUUCGGUUAACAAGUCAACAUCAAUUUCUUUUGUUGUAAAAGGGUAUGAGGAAGGUGGCUUUUCUUUUCGGAGAAAGUGUUUAUAGCCUUGUGCCUCUGCAAUCGGAGAGAUUGAGGUCUGCAGCGUAGAUCCUUCGGGGUUAGAUACAUUUGUGCUAAGUUAUAGCUUUUCAUAGACAACUUGUUGACUAUGAUUAAGUCAUUGUAGCUUACUCGCUUAUGCUAUUUUACCUACGCUUAGGAUGUUGAUAUGCAUGACUGAUAU